GAUGAACGCUGGCGGCGCGCCUAACACAUGCAAGUCGAACGGUUAAAGCCCCUUCGGGGGUGCAUAAAGUGGCGAACGGCUGAGUAACACGUGGGCAACCUGCCCCUCGCACCGGGACAGCCUCGGGAAACCGUGGUUAAUACCGGAUACUCCCGCACCCCCGCAUGGGGGCGCGGGGAAAGCCCAGACGGCGAGGGAUGGGCCCGCGGCCUGUUAGCUCGUUGGCAGGGUAACGGCCCACCAAGGCGAUGAUGGGUAGCCGGGUUGAGAGACCGACCGGCCAGAUUGGGACUGAGACACGGCCCAGACUCCUACGGGAGGCAGCAGUGGGGAAUCUUGCGCAAUGGGCGGAAGCCUGACGCAGCGACGCCGCGUGCGGGAAGGAGGCCUUCGGGUCGUAAACCGCUUUCAGCAGGGACGAGGCCGCGAGGUGACGGUACCUG
rnacentral:rRNA from 1 species